UACGUAGGGGGCUAGCGUUGUCCGGAAUCAUUGGGCGUAAAGCGCGUGUAGGCGGUUCGGUAAGUCCGCUGUGAAAGUCGGGGGCUCAACCCUCGAAUGCCGGUGGAUACUGUCGGGCUAGAGUCCGGAAGAGGCGAGUGGAAUUCCCGGUGUAGCGGUGAAAUGCGCAGAUAUCGGGAGGAACACCAAUGGCGAAGGCAGCUCGCUGGGACGGUACUGACGCUGAGACGCGAAAGCGUGGGGAGCAAACAGG
rnacentral:rRNA from 1 species